rnacentral:rRNA from 1 species
UAGUCUGCAACCCGACUACAUGAAGCUGGAAUCGCUAGUAAUCGCGAAUCAGAAUGUCGCGGUGAAUACGUUCCCGGGUCUUGUACACACCGCCCGUCACACCAUGGGAGUCGGAAAUGCCCGAAGUCAGUGACCCAACCGUAAGGAGGGAGCUGCCGAAGGUGGAGCCGGUAACUGGGGUGAAGUCGUAACAAGGUACC